rfam:Hepacivirus C isolate sP161684 polyprotein gene, complete cds
CAAACUCAUUGCCCAGGGAGGGAAGGCCAGGAUAUGCGGCCUAUACCUCUUUAACUGGGCAGUGCGUACC